GAGAAAAUAUCAAGUAAUACAUCAAGAUAUUAAUUAGCUUUUUAGGACUGUAGGGGAUUUUAUUUUUUAUAUUCUCUAAAAAUAAGGUCUGCAAUGUAUUAGUAGAUUCAAGAGAUCGGUAGAGCA